UGUAGCGGGACACAGACCUCCUCCAGCAGGUAGACGGUGUUCCUGCAGCCGCCCAUCUUGGAGGUGAACGAGGAGGUAGUGGGCGAGCUCCAGUCCUCCAGAACCUCCUGCACGAACUCGGACACGGAAACGCACUCCGGCAUGGUUCCUCGCCUGCACCCCCCAGCAACCGGGCCAGGAUCAAAAUCAAGACGGGACGGGGAACAAUAGCACAAAAGACAGACGAGGCCGGCGGGGAAUCCCUCUCAGAGCCAGAACCAGCACUGGAUGGACGGCAUAGUCAUGGAGCUGGGAUGAAAUCAAUCGGCUGAUUUGAGCUCUAAUUGAUGCUGAUUAAAUUGAUUAUAACUUGAUGAGCGUUUGUCUCACAACAAAAGACGGUUCAGUCCAGCCAGUCCCGGUCUGACGGUACCAGGUUAAAACAGACAAUCCGGUCUCUUGUUAAACUAACGAGUGUAGGUUCGGAGAAGACCCGGAGACCCGCCCGGCUGUCGAACCUGCUGACAAAGAGCGGAGGACCAGGGCAAGCAAGCCGAGCUCCGCACGCCGGAAGAGUCUUCAGAGGACCGAAGAGGGCCAAUUAGAGGUUCUGGUUCCUUGCGUCCUCGUCCAACUGGAUUAGCCUCAGCCUGCUCUAAAGUCACCAACUGGAGCUCCGCCUCCACCUUACCCUACCACACACACACGCAGAAUGAAGGUCCUGGUGUGCCAGACAGACAAAGCCGCACCCCCGUGUUCUUACCAUGAUCCUCAGCUGUCUUCUGACGGGUCACUGGCCACCAGCCCUUCAUCUUUUUGGAGCGGAAUAUGGAAACCCGCGGGGCGGCCCGGUCUUUGGCCAUCUGGACCGUGCACUUGCCGGACGACUUUGCCGCCCGCACCAUGUCACUGAGGCGCAGCUCGAUGGCGCCUGGAAGAGUUUGGAGAGGAGGAUGGAUCAUCAAUGUCCACAUGGAUGCAUGUACUGUAUUUCUAAAAACAUGUUUUUUUAACAUAUACUGACCUUUUGUAUCUACACAAAUUGGGUAUUGUACUUGAUAUUGUGGGGGAGAGAAUAAAAUGUAGACAAGCUUGGUCUCACCCAGGAAGUCGUUGGCCAAGAUGCGGUCAUAGUCCCAUAUCUGCAGCGCGAGGACCGCCGGUUGCCGAAACUCGGUCUCCUCCAGAGAAAAGAUGGACUCCUUCCUCUUGUAGACCACCUCUUUCUUCAUGUUUACAUCCAACACAACAAGGAGGACAUGGACAACAUUGUCAAACUAGAAACAACACUUUCAUCACAAUUUUUGUGCAAACAGAUGAUGUCUUGACGCUGCAUAUUAUUGCAAUCCCUGAUAUGUUUUUUCCAUCCUUACAUUUUUCAGUGUCUUGCUCAGAAAUUUUGGAAUUAACACAAAACCUCUGAUUGGAAGAGGUCUAUCAACAAAGGCCCAUCCACCCAACCUACGGGACGACCCUGUCAUCCAAAUGUACACUGUAUCUGUGUGUGUACCUCAGUGGGCAGGUAAUCAAAGCGAAAGACAAAUCUCCAGUUGAAG